rnacentral:rRNA from 1 species
GACGAACGCUGGCGGCGUGCUUAACACAUGCAAGUCGAACGGAAAGGCCCUGCUUUCAGUGUACUCGAGUGGCUAACGGGUGAGUAACUCGUGGGUGAUCUGCCCUGCACUUCGGGUUAAGCCUGCGAUACUGGGUCUAAUUCCUGCUAGGUGCCAUUCUUAGUGUGAUGGUUGGAACGUUUUUUCGGUUUAGGAUGAGCUCGCGGCCUCUCAGCUUGUUGGUGGGGUAAUGGUCUACCAAGGCGGCGACGGGUAGGCGGCCCGAGAGGGGGGACGGCCAAAAUGGGGAUGGGAAAAGGCCCAGAAUCCUACGGGAGGGAGCAGUGGGGAAAAUUGGACAAUGGGCGCAAGCCUGAUGCAGCGAAGCCGCGUGGAGGAUGACGGCCUUCGGGUUGUAAAAUCCUUUCGAUAGGGAAGAAGCUGUUUGUGACGGUACCUAGAUAAGAAGCACCGGCUAACUACGUG